GCCAGGACGGCUGGGGGCGCUGUCCACUCAGGACAAAGAAGCAAGUGCCCCGUUUUAGGGGAGCUGCCACCCAGGCUGGCUCAUCCCAUGCCCGUGAGGCGGGGGCAUGUCAGGUUUCCGGGCGGCAGGACAGACUGUGCAGAGCAAUAAAGUUCUUGCUACAGGAAGGUGGGGACAGGAGCCAGGUGGCCUGGGGCGGGCAGGGGCAGGUGUGCCGGGGUGUGGGCCCAGGCCCCCUGUGUGAGGUGGUGGGGCAGGCACUAGCCACUGCCGAAUCCACCCUGUGUCCCUCUGGGCCGGGAGGGGCCCUCAGCUCAGGUGGGGGGGCCCGAGGGUCAUGCAGCCCCAUGCCCACCUCCCGACGGCCCUUGCUUCCCCGACAGGGCUGAGGGUGAUUUGUGGUCCUUUGGGGAGAGGUUGCCAAGGCGGGGACCUGCCUCGGCCCUGCCAGCUCCCCUCAGCACCGGGAAGUGGAGGGACCCACAGGCAGUGCUCGGGGUGUCCAGCCCACGGGGCUCAGUCCAGGGCAGGGCCCAGAGCCCCGGGGGCCCGGGGGGGACCAGCCUGGGGCGCCGCUCCUUUCUCUGGGGCCUGGGUUCCUACGCUGAGUGUGGUGGGGGCAGCCGCACACGGUUGGGACCUCGGCGAGGGGGGGCCCCAGCAGCGCUGUGGCAGGGACCUCUCUGAGGCUGCCCAGUGCCAGUCCGGGGCAGCAAACACCAGCGACUCCGCCUUCUGGAGCCUUCUGAGCUGUGAAGCCAGUGACUGCUGUCCUGAGUUUUCGUUGCUGAAGCCAAAGCCGCUGGGGAAGCCUGUCCUUCCAAGGACAAGUGGGUGCAGUGCGGCCAACCGUCCAGACGGCAGAAGUAUCUGCGGGACAAAUCGGGACCCUCCCUCAACUGGCCACAUCCCAGGUUCACGGAAGGCUCUUGCUGAUGCCCACACCACCCGGAAACCUCUCCAGGGGAGGCUGGCAGCUCCCACCCGCACCCCUGCCGGCCUCCCUGCAUGCAUCCUGCUCCCAGCUUGGCUGGUGUGGACAGGAAGCCGGAGCCAGGGCAGACCACGGCCCAAGGGGCGGCUCUGCCGGGCAGGGCUGGAGGGGUUCCCCGGAGGCCAGGCCGGCCGAGCCCGACCUUCAGCUCUGGAGGAGCUGAAGUGUCUUCCUUUAAGUCUGGUCUCUCUGAAUGUCUCCCACGGAGGCUGUGGUUCUGCGGGGGGCUUCUAGAAGCUCCACCCUGGGUGGGGUCCCCAGCACCGGUCAUGUGCCAGGAAACCACUUUUGAGUUUCUUUCUGGGGACCCGAAGCCCUCCAGGUUGACAGGUUUUGCUCAGAAGCACCCGCAGCUCAGACAAGGACGCUUCUCCAGCCUGGCUGCUCUCUUGCCGCUGGCGGGGCCUUGGCUCGGAAAAGUCCCGAGGCAGAUCGCUUUUCUGCCAAAUUUCGGUGGAAGAUGAAAUCAGCAGCAGUGAAAGUGUGGUGAUCCCUGGAGGCGUUGGUGUGGGAGGAAGGUCUGAGGGGGUGCUGGGGGUGCGGGACAGGGCCUCACCAGGGUCCGAGACCCAGGCAGACAGUCACCUGGGACCGGAAAGAGCAGCUGCCAACAAAGACCACGGCCCCCAGCAGGCGCCAGGCAGGUGUCUGCCUCCACCCCACAUGCCAACAGUCACCCGUCGUCCCUCCAUCCCCCCCAGCCCACACGUCUGGUGCUGCCCUGGGCCAGGCUCAGCGGUCCACACGCCUCGUGGGGUUGGGGUGGAAGGGUCAUGGGUGCCCAGGAGCAGAGAGGGGCUUAUCUGAGAGGGUCCUGAAGGUGCCAGAGUUGGCCAGGGAGGGAGCCAGCUGGACUCCUGGAUGGAGUGACCCCUUCACGUAGUGUUUGUGGCUGGAUGGUGUCCUGAGACCCACACUGCUCCAGAUGCGCGGGUAGGGGUGUCUCGCUGGGAACAGGGUUCUGCCCGACUGGCCUGGCUGCAGCCACAGGAUGCACUCGCGGCCCUGCCAGCUCCACAGCGUUGGUCUCUUCUGCACCCUGGAUACGCCCCCGGUGAUGCAACCCUGGCUGGCUAAGUGCUGACUCAGCACGGCUGGGGCAGCUCCCGCCUCCUUGCCUGGGCCUAUGGGCUCCGUGUGGCGUCCCCUGGUGCUCCUGCUGGUUUGAGGGCCAAGCUGGACAGACUGGCCUUUCCCGCCCAGGGCUGUGCCUGCGAGUGCCUUAGCCCCAGUC
ensembl:lncRNA